UACGAAGGGGGCUAGCGUUGCUCGGAAUUACUGGGCGUAAGGCGCACGUAGGCGGUCUUUUAAGUCGGGGGUGAAAUCCUGGAGCUCAACUCCAGAACUGCCUUCGAUACUGGAAGACUUGAGUCCGGGAGAGGUGAGUGGAACUGCGAGUGUAGAGGUGAAAUUCGUAGAUAUUCGCAAGAGCACCAGUGGCGAAGGCGGCUCACUGGCCCGGUACUGACGCUGAGGUGCGAAAGCGUGGGGAGCAAACAGG
rnacentral:rRNA from 1 species